rnacentral:rRNA from 1 species
CAGCACCUCAAGUGGUCAGGAUGAUUAUUGGGCCUAAAGCAUCCGUAGCCUGCUUUGUUAGUUUUCGGUUAAAUCCAUACGCUCAACGUACAGGCUGCCGGGAAUACUGCAGAGCUAGGGAGUGGGAGAGGUAGACGGUACUCGGUAGGAAGGGGUAAAAUCCUUUGAUCUAUUGAUGACCACCUGUGGCGAAGGCGGUCUACCAGAACACGUCCGACGGUGAGGGAUGAAAGCUGGGGGAGCAAACCGGAUUAGAUACCCGAGUAGUCC